AUUGAACGCUGGCGGCAGGCUUAACACAUGCAAGUCGAGCGGGGACUUCGGUCCUAGCGGCGAACGGGUGAGGAAUGCUUGGGAAUCUGCCCAGUAGCAGGGGAUAACGUUUCGAAAGGAACGCUAAUACCGCAUACGCCCUACGGGGGAAAGGGGGGGAUCUUCGGACCUCUCACUAUUGGAUGAGCCCAAGUCGGAUUAGCUAGUUGGUGGGGUAAAGGCCUACCAAGGCGACGAUCCGUAGCUGGUCUGAGAGGAUGAUCAGCCACACUGGAACUGAGACACGGUCCAGACUCCUACGGGAGGCAGCAGUGGGGAAUAUUGGACAAUGGGGGGAACCCUGAUCCAGCCAUGCCGCGUGUGUGAAGAAGGCCUUAUGGUUGUAAAGCACUUUAAGCGAGGAGGAGGCUACUGAGACUAAUACUCUUGGAUAGUGGACGUUACUCGCAGAAUAAGCACCGGCUAACUCUGUGCCAGCCGCCGCAGUAACAC
rnacentral:rRNA from 1 species